UGGGAACGUCGUCCCAAUUUGAGGGUGUGGGUCGAACUGGGUCACUGUCCCAAUUUACGCUGUAUCGCCGUCCCCAUCCCAAUGGGUCAUGAGAUCUGGAUCAAGCUCGAGAUCACCAGGGAGAAGGGGAAAACAGGAGGUGGGGAGGAUGCUGCAGUAGAGAUUGAGCAACGACUAUCUGCGAGGGCUUAGGGGGCAACGGAGGAGGUGCUGUAGCAGAGGAUUGGUGCGGACAUCUAGGGACGACGGCACUGUGUCGUGGCGGCGGCUUCAAGAGAGACAGCCAGAGGGAGGAAGAAGAUAACUGCUGGCGGCAUGCGUGCUGCAAGAAAUGAGGCAAAGCAAGGUGGAGGUGGGCUGUACAGCCCAGUAAACUGCAGCCCAUCUAACCCUUUUCUUUUCUCCUUUCCUGUUUUCUUUUUUUUUCUUGGUUUCUAUAGCUUUGACUGAUCGAUCCUGCACCUCCUCCCAGGGUCAUCGACCCGGCACUCCUUGGUUCACGUACCAUUUUGCGAAUAUUUAUCUCGAAAGGGUGGAUUGACAAGUUAAUGGAUGAGCGGCUAACGGUUUACUAAUUAGUAGUGAAGUGCAUCAUGUCGUGGUGCUCGCUGUGUGCAAACGGUUUGGUAAAAUGCAGAUGAGUUGCAAAUGUUAGCUGAUAGCUUAUGGGUACUCAUGCAGUGGCGGUCGCAAAAUGCUGAUGGUUUAAGAAUAAUGUAAACAACUAAAUGAAAUUGGUAUGUUCAUACUUAACUUUUUACUGAGUCCAAACUUAAAUGACGCAAUCCGCUUGUUACUUAAACUACAGCUUCAAGAUUUUUUGUUUAAAGGGAGGUAAGGUUACCACCUACAUCUGGAUGACAUAUCCAGUUUCUUAUAUUUUCACUCUGGGCUUAUGGAAGUAAUUUUUUGAAUGAUUCAAUAAUAAAUACAGAAUGUAUUGUACCCCCCCUCCCCAAACACACACAUUCUUCUGCUAAAGACUCCAAUGGCAAUUUGACUUGUUUAGUGUUAACUGUGUUUUGGUUGCAGGGACAACUAUACAAGUUAUAUGAAUUUCACUAUUUAUUAGAAACUGUGGUGACAUUGGAUUCUUUGGUAAUUCUUUAGCCUGCUUAGUGUUUUUAUUAAUUUCUGAGAGAAUUUGCUGCUUGCUUGGUGAUUGUGAAGAUAAAUGGCCCUAAGUUACAUGACCAUUCUUCUAUUAAUUUUGUCAAAUCCAUUUCAUGUAUACAGAGGCACAUAGGGGACAGAACCUCCAUAGACCUUUGAUUCUUGCAGCUUGGUCCGGCAACCUCAAAACACGUGUUUUAAGAUUAAUUUGGAACUUUAUGAAAUUAAAUAUUCAGUAUAGUACAAUUAUAUUAUAUUUAGCUGAAUUAUAUUUUUCUCAGUUUCCAAGGGGAUGGUGUGUCUUGGCACUUGGCUGCUCGCAAUGCUUGGGAGGUUUAGUCAACUGGUUGUUACUUUCAUCAUCAUAAUUAUUUUGUGAGACAAAGGAAGCAAUGUAAAUAGAUUUUUUUCCUAGCUGAACAAUACCAGACAUGAGCUCCAGGUUGUUCUAGAUAGCUUACCUUAGAAUUCUUUCUGGUAGAUUUUCAUUUUCCUUAGAAUUUUUCUAGCUCAAUUUUAUUCCUUUUCCAGGUCAUUUAAUUCUUCUCUCUUAUGAAUUGUUCCUUCAGUUGUUUGUCAAAGGUAGUGAUAUAUGUGACAAGAACUCUGAAAGUAUAAAUUAUCAGGUCUAAAUCUCAACGAAUCUAAUUGACAAGGCAACUUAGCAAUCUAUUUUAUAUGGUACUCUUUCUGAGGUCUAAUCUCAACAAAUCUAGCUAAUUGACGAAUCUAAUUUUACAUUGUGUCAAAUAGCUUGGUUGUUAAUUUGGGUCUCCUUGUUGCUUUAUGUUCUGGUGUUUUUUCGCAGAAGGUGUGGUGGGAGAGGAUUAGAGAAAUGAAGAGUGUGCUGCGAGGAGUUUCAGAACAUACGCAACAGAGUGCAGAAAGAGUAUGAUGGAGGGGCAAGGCGUCUGCUUCAUCAGAUUUUAAAUGAAAUGCAGAAGAGCCUCUUUAAUUUGGAUGAUGUAAACAUUUUUAAAAAUCCAUUCGGACUAUUUAGGAUCUAUUUCAAUGGUUAC